CAGUGGUCCCAGGGUCCAGCUUGUGCUAUUUGGAAAUCAAGACAUGUCCAGAGAGGGUUUUCAGGAAAAGGCUUCCAGUGAUGCCACAUCAAAGCUUAAUUGCUCCGCUGAAACACUGGCAACAAAAAUCGUCUUCUCUUCUCCCUUUGUGAAAAAGGCUUUCACUUAAUGUAGAGAAAGGUAUUAUAUACCAGGGAAAUGGAACUUUGUAUAAAUGAUUUUCCCCCAAGAGGAACUAAAGCAUUUGGAAGGUAUCUGAAUUCAGGGAGGUGCAAAGAAGAAUGAAAUAUUGUGUCUGCCUGUGAUGCACAUUGCUUAAUAUGAAUACUAAGAAAAAUAGUCAUCUGUUUCUGUUCCUGUCCCCCUCACUGCAAGGGGGCACUUCAGGACUGCAGCAAAGGGCAUUUGAUGGAGUCUAUAACAGUCAAAUGCUGAAAAUUGCAAUCUCCAUAGUGAAAGACACGAAGAAAGAAAUUGAUUGAAAUGGGUUAAUUAAUUCAAUUAGCAACACUUUUUCUCAGCAAAGGAGCUGAGAAAGAAAAUGUUUUGGUUCAGUCAUGGGUAGGGGUGCUUGACAGUGCUUAAUAUCACCAGCACUGAAGGUAAUAAAUAUUAUCUCUCUUUUCUACCAUGAAUAUGAAUGAUACUCUGAAGGCUGAAUGCAACCUCAGAAUUUAAGUGAGAAAUGAGGCAUGCAACACUUUUGAAAAU
rnacentral:lncRNA from 1 species